GGGCGUUUAGCUCAGUUGGUAGAGCAUUAGCUCGACAAGCUAAGGGUCACAGGUUCGAAUCCUGUAACGCCCACCA
rnacentral:tRNA from 1 species